CGCAACCCUUAUCCUUUGUUGCCAGCGGUUCGGCCGGGAACUCAAAGGAGACUGCCAGUGAUAAACUGGAGGAAGGUGGGGAUGACGUCAAAUCAUCAUGCCCCUUAUGACCAGGGCUACACACGUGCUACAAUGGCUGGUACAACGAGUCGCAAGUCGGUGACGGCAAGCUAAUCUCUUAAAGCCAGUCUCAGUUCGGAUUGUAGGCUGCAACUCGCCUACAUGAAGUCGGAAUCGCUAGUAA
rnacentral:rRNA from 1 species